AAUGUAAAUGUACAGGAAGUACAUAAUAUCCUACAAACAAAGUGAAGUUCCUCUCUCGGUUCCCUGGGACCCAAGUAACCAGGUAUAUUAACCUGUUCUAGUAGCUAUAAAUCUCAUGAAUUUGCUCAGCAACAUGCCUUGUUGGAUCAUGUGAAUAUUCCAUGUCUUGGCAGAUGUACCUCAGUUACAAUAAUGUUUCGGCACUGAAGAUGUUGGCUGCCCGUAACAACUGGGUCUUAACCUCAGAGAAAAAUAAGGUGAGUUUAUACACACUUGAGGAGAACCAGAUGUUGUGCUUUAAGGUGGAGACUCAUGUGGCCGUGGCAGCUGAGCAGGUGUUUCUGUUACUGUCUGACAAAGACAAAGGAAGGCAUGGGACCACCACUACCAGUAUGUCAAAUGCCUUUUAAAUAAUGAAAAAGUAAUUCUUGAAUUU